rnacentral:rRNA from 1 species
GUAGGGAAUAUUGGGCAAUGGUCGGAAGACUGACCCAGCCAUGCCGCGUGCAGGAAGACGGCCCUCUGGGUUGUAAACUGCUUUUAUCUGGGAAGAAAAAGGCCAUGCGUGGCAAAUUGCCGGUACCAGAUGAAUAAGCACCGGCUAACUCCGUGCCAGCAGCCGCGGUAAUACGGAGGGUGCGAGCGUUGUCCGGAUUUAUUGGGUUUAAAGGGUGCGUAGGCGGCUGAUUAAGGCAGCGGUGAAAGACUUCGGCUUAACCGGAGCAGUGCCGUUGAUACUGGUUGGCUUGAGUGUCGGAGGGGUACAUGGAAUUGAUGGUGUAGCGGUGAAAUGCAUAGAUACCAUCAGGAACACCGAUAGCGAAGGCAUUGUACUGGCCGACAACUGACGCUGAUGCACGAAAGUGUGGGGAUCGAACAGGAUUAGAAACCCCGGUAGUCC